CCUAAUCAUGAGUAUUUCCAUCUCCUUAUGAUAGUCCUCUACACUUUUCGACCCUUGAUAUAGACCUUGCAGUUUUUGAUGAAUCUCUCGGUAAUAGUGGCUAGGAACAAACCUCUUUCUCAUCAAUGACUUCAAUUCCUCCCAAGUGCUGAUUGGUCUUCCCCCACUCCUACGUUGUGAAGUAAUCACUUGAUCCCACCAUGAAAUUGCAUAGUCACUGAACUCCAAAACUGCUAACUUCACCUUUUUCUCCUUCGAGUAGUUAUAACACUCGAAGAUCAUUUCAACCUUCCUUUCCCACUCCAGGUAUGCCUCGAGAUCACUCUUUCCUUUGAAUAAAGGAACUGUCAUUUUUAUAUUUCCCAAAUUUCCAUCCAACUCCUCCCCGCGAUCAUU
rnacentral:lncRNA from 1 species